rnacentral:lncRNA from 1 species
CAGGAAUGUAUAAUUUAAUUUGCAUCUUAGGGGGUAUAUUGUUAUCUUCCUGCUAAGGAAUUUACAUUCAUAACUUGCCAUGCACAAUUACAAUAUAGAGAGGUCUUGGAUGUUUUUGUUAGUAUUUCUUAAAAAAAUAACACAAAACAUAGAACAAUAACUUCAUAAUGCUGACCACAGUAAGCAAAUCAUUUGGAAUGCCUCUCUUGUCAUGUUAGCAAAGUAAAUAAUGAAUUUGCAAAUUCCAGAGAUUUCUGGGAUUACAGUCGUACUAAUGUUUUGGCCCAGGGUCCCUGCUGGCUCAUACCUUUUCAAGUCAGUGUUUUUGUAGUCACUAUUCCUUCCCACAUAAAUACUUGCACACAGUGAAACAAUGAGACUCCUGGCAUACCCAUAGGCUUUCUUAAUUCUUCUUUUUUUGUUCUGUUUCUGCUUUCCAGCUAAAUGACCGAAAAGGGAUGUUUUACUGUGGAUUCUUGGCUCCCCUACCUUUUAAAUAAUUUUUUUCUUCUUUCUUCAUUUUAACAUAGAUGUUUUUAAAGCUAAACAUUUAUCUUUUCUUUGAAAUUGCCUUUUCAAUUCAUUACAUUGCUGUAUGUUGAUUUCCAUUCUCAAGUCUGUUCUCAGACUAAACAUGGUACACAAUGUUUUGCUAGAAGAGUGGGGUACAAUAUUAUUCAAACUUUAUCCUUCAUCAUUUAUUAUCACUAAUGUACUGAUUUCCUUAAUUAAGCCCUCCCCAGUGGAUCACCUUGUUCACAGUCUUCUAGAGCUGUACUGUUCAAUAUGGUAGCCACUAGCCCCAUGUGGCUUGUAUCUAGAUAAUUUAAAUUUAAAGUAAUUACGUUACCAGAAAGGUGGUUCCAAUCCAGACCCCAAGGAAGGCAGUUCUUGGAUCUCAUGCAAGAAAUAAUUCUGAGUGAGUCCAUAGAGUAAAGUGAAAGCAAGUUCAUUAAGAAAGUAAAGAGAUAAAGAAUAGCCACUACAUAGGCAGAGCAGCCCUGAGGGCUGCUGGUUGCCCACUUUUAUGGUUAUUUCUUGAGCAUAUGCUAAACAAGGUGAGAGACAGGACUAGCUGGAUUUCCUGGGCCGACUAAGAAUCCCUAAGCCUAGCUGGGAAGGUGACCACAUCCACCUUUAAACACGAGGCUUGCAACUUAGCUCACACCUGACCAAUCAGAGAGCUCACUAAAAUGCUAAUUAGGCAAAAACAGGAGGUAAAGAAAUAGCCAAUCAUCUAUUGCCUGAGAGCACAGCAGGAGGGGCAAGGAUGGGGAUAUAAACCCAGGCAUUUGAGCCAGCAACAGCAACCCCUUUGGGUCCCCUCCCUUUGUAUGGGAGCUCUGUUUUCACUCUACUUCAUUCUAUUAAAUCUUGCAACUGCACUCUUCUGGUCUGUGUUUGUUAUGGCUGGAGCUGAGCUUUCGCUCGCCAUCCACCACUGUUGUUUGCCGCUGUCACAGACCCGCCACUGACUUCCAUCCCUCCGGAUCCAGCAGGGUGUCCGCUGUGCUCCUGAUCCAGCGAGGCGCCCAUUGCCACUCCCGAUGGGGCUAAAGGCUUGCCAUUGUUCCUGCAUGGCUGAGUGCCUGGGUUUGUCCUAAUCGAGCCGAACAGUAGUCACUGGGUUCCACAGUUCUCUUCUGUGACCCACGGCUUCUAAUAGAGCUGUAACACUCACCACAUGGCCCAAGAUUCCAUUCCUUGGCAUCCGUGAGGCCAAGAACCUCAUGUCAGAGAACACGAGGCUUGCCACCAUCUUUGAAGCGGCCCGCUGCCAUUUUGGAAGCGCCCAUCACCAUCUUAGGAGCUCUGGAAGCAAGGACCCCCCGGUAACGAAGAGUUGGUCGAAUCCAAAGAUGGGGAGCCUGUGGAUACUGAAGGCCAACUGUACUACAGGGUUAGAAGCAUAAGUCAGUGGAAGACAGAAGAGGCCAAUCUGCUUCUCCAUCAACCCAUUAGGCAAUGACAAAACUGCAACAAUACUGAGCUGAGAAAAGAAAAAAAAAUGUAAGUGAAAAAAGAAAUCCACAAUUGCCAAUGCAAGACUGAGAACGAUGUGAUAUUCAGAGCCCACAAAAAAGCAUUACCCCACUCCAACCACAGGGCUCCUCCCAGCCUUGUCAAUGUGCCAUUCAUGGCCCGUAAUGACUUCCUCUCUCCAUCUCCACCAGUACUUCUAGAGGUUCAACUUUCAUCAACACCUGCAACGAGCCCCUUCCCCGUAUUACAUGAGUCGCAAUGACUGUUCAGUGAUAUCACUGUCCCUGUCAUAUGCAGUUUGUGGGCUGCUGCUGGAGUAAUUUUGCUGCCACUUUGCUAACUUAACUCAUCCAUUCACCCAGUGUUUUACGCCUCCAGGACACCCCAACUACUGUUUCAACAAACACUCUCAUACUUACCCC